rnacentral:rRNA from 1 species
GAAACGGCUACCACAUCUAAGGAAGGCAGCAGGCGCGCAAAUUACCCAAUCCUAAUACAGGGAGGUAGUGACAAGAAAUAACAAUACAGGACUUUUUGGUUUUGUAAUUGGAAUGAGUUAAGUAUAAACCCCUUUACAAGUAUCAAUUGGAGGGCAAGUCUGGUGCCAGCAGCCGCGGUAAUUCCAGCUCCAAUAGCGUAUAUUAAAGUUGUUGCAGUUAAAAAGCUCGUAGUUGGAUUUCUGUUAAUAAUUUAUAUAAAAUAUUUUGAUGAAUAUUUAUAUAAUAUUAACAUAAUUCAUAUUACUAUAUAUUUUAGUAUAUGAAAUUUUACUUUGAGAAAAUUAGAGUGCUUAAAGCAGGCAUAUGCCUUGAAUACUCCAGCAUGGAAUAAUAUUAAAGAUUUUUAUCUUUCUUAUUGGUUCUAAGAUAAGAAUAAUGAUUAAUAGGGACAGUUGGGGGCAU